UGAUCUACUGUCUCCAAAGCAGCCACUGUGC
rnacentral:piRNA from 1 species